AUGACAGUUUUACAAAGCGUCUUCCUCUUGGCUCUCAUUUCAGCUGCUCAGGGCCAGUCCCUCACCUCCUCAGAGCCGGUGGUCAACAGAGCUGGACAAUCAGUCACUCUGUCCUGUAAAGUUGAAGGACUUUCUCUUGCUUGGCUGCACUGGAUUCGUCAGAAAUCAGGGAAAGUACUGGAGUGGAUUGGACGCAUUGAUAGUGGAACUGGCACAAUAUUUUCCCAAAGUCUUCAAAGCCAGUUUCUCAUCACUAAAGACACUUCCCAAAAUGUUGUGUACUUAGAGGUGAAGAGUCUGAAAGCAGAAGACUCUGCUGUUUAUUACUGUGCACGAGAGCCACAGUGCCACAGGAGACUGCAAAGCUGUACAAAAACUGAUCUCUUAAAAAGAAACUUUGAAGCAUGUCAGGAAACAAAUCUCCCACUGAAUGAUGACCAAUAA